rnacentral:rRNA from 1 species
GACGAACGCUGGCGGCGUGCCUAAUACAUGCAAGUUGAGCGCUGAAGGUUGGUACCUGUACCGACUGGAUGAGCAGCGAACGGGUGAGUAACGCGUGGGGAAUCUGCCUUUGAGCGGGGGACACGAUUAGGAACGAAUGACGUAAUACCGCAUAAAAACUUUAAACACAAGUUUUAAGUUUGAAAGAUGCAAUUGCGUCACUCAAAGAUGAUCCCGCGUUGUAUUAGCCAGUUGGUGAGGUAAAGGCUCACCAAGGCGAUGAUACAUAGCCGACCUGAGAGGGUGAUCGGCCACAUUGGGACUGAGACACGGCCCAA